AAGUUGCACUUUUUCUUGGUUUCAAACUGGAGAUGAUGGUCUAAACUGGUUGAAUAUGUUGAUUCAGUCCUCAGAGAUAAAAAAAAGCAAGUGGAGACUUGGAAAGGCAGACAAUGCCUCAGGAAAGUACCCCACACCAUAGUGACACCUUGCUAAAUGAGAUAAAUAGUGCUGUCAGGUGAUGUUCUCCAUAAACGUUAUCUUAGGUACCGUGAUACUUAGAGAUAACCCGAAGAGGGUUUCCCAAAUUGUGAGGGGGGAUGAGGACCCUAUAGGAUGAGGGUAUUGGAGCCAGUCUGUCAAUAAAAAUAACUGUCAUUUGCAUCCAUUUUGGGGUUUAACAAUGCAUCAUCACUCUUGUUCUUUCAUGGUGUUCCCACAACCUCCCUGUGAGGAGGUCAAGGCAAGUCGCAUUUUCCCAAAGCCAGAAAGUUGAGUGAUUUGUCUACUCAGACCCUUUGGUUCCAAGCCCAAUGCAAUUCUGCUGCAACUCUGAAGGUACUAAGAGGCAGGGCAGGGAGUAAAAGGAAGGAAACCAAUGUGGACCUUAGUUCUGGUGUGGAGGAAUCAUUCCUCAGAUGGAAAGAGGGAGAGGGAGGGGAACCAUUACCUCCUCAUUUCUGUGGGUCAAAGAGAACAUGUGCUUGGGCAAUCACCCCUCCCCCACCUGAAGAUAGCUCAAUAGCUAGUUAAAAGUUUAGCUAAGUGCCUUCUUGUAGUAAUUUUAAAAAGGAAGAUGCUAUUUACAAAGGCUAAUCCCUACUUCUCCUUCUAUUUCUUUCUUUCAAGGAAAAAUGUGGGAAAGUGUGAUUCAGAGCCUAAGAGGAUGAGGGAAAGACUUGCUGGGCUAGUUGUGAAAGUGUGAACAUAGCAUGCUAGUCUGGGUAUUAAGGAUGCAAAUGGGCUGAAGACAGGGGCCACCAUUAAUGGAACCUGAACAGUGCCUAACCUAACCCCUGUGGAUAUCUGUUGAAUGUUAAAUAAUAGCAGAGAUCAUGUAAUAAGGACACUCAGCUCACUCAGGAGAGAAUAUCAAACAGUCUGGAAUUUUCCUGUUGCUGGCAGCACAGCCCAGGAGCAUCCUGAGGGAACCAGAGUCUUUAUAGCAUCAGUGAAAAGGAACUCUGUCCUCCUUAUCUUCCUGCUUUUCUCAGUUCAGCCCCCAUUCUUAUUCCAUUGGUGCCUGGAGGAAGUCUUGGUUAAAAGCUUUCUGAUGGAGACAUUGAUGAUUAGUUUGGAAGGAGCCAGAAGGUGAGAGGGCUGAAGCAGGAAGGAUGCUUGUGUCUUACUCUGCAGCCUAUGAAUGGUACCUUCAAAAUAUGCCCCUCCUCCUAUUUCUGGAGAAAUGAGUAGGAAUAAUGCCACUCUGCAGUUGGAGAUUUUGAAGACCUUACUCCAAUCUUCUGGUCCAUUGAUGGCCCCUCUUCCUGUUACCAACCUGAUGGAUAAAGUAAUCUUUUCAAGUUUUGAAGCCCCCAUAUGCCUACAGGAAUACACUGCUUAGCAAGCCAUGCCAGGCAGUUGCCCCUGGAGCCACAUCACCAUGGCUGAAAACACCACAGGAGCGAUGGCCACAGACUCUGUGCACUGCUGAGCUCUGCUGGAGAAGGAUACAGAGAGAUGAACAAGGAAUUGGUGUUAUGAAAACUCACUGGAACAUUGGAAACAUGUGGAAUAUGGGAAAGAUGAGAAUAGAGUAGCCCAUUUGGAAAGAAUUCUCAAAUGACACUUUGCUGAGCAAGAAGGCUUCUUUGAUGGGCUAAACGUUCCUGGGCAUGAGAAGGGGAGGAGGAACAGGAGAGGACAGAUGGUUCUCAUGGCAGGAAAAAGAUGACACCACUCUCAUUAUCCAAGGGAUGUUUGUGCCUGGAAAAUGGAAGGGUGAGGUCAGCUUCAUGCUCUGGGAUUUGACCAGUGAUGGAAUUUGAGAAAAAAGAAAACUCAGAAGUCACAUCUCCCAGAACCCCUUGAACUUUUCUGUGGUGCUGAAGUUUAGGAGGACCAAUGAAGGCACCAGGAUCCCAGCACUGAGAAAAAAGCCACCUUGAGAAAGUCGCAGGUAUCUGGCAGCCAUGGAUCAAAAUAGCACAUUUAUUGAGUCUAGAGAGGACAAUGUGGAAACUAGUAGGAUGGUUAUUUUAAAGAUAAAGCCACGAUGUGCCUUAGGGUAACCUAAAAAUACUGAAGCCUUUUUGCUUUCAUGUUAGAUCCCUCUCUGUAAAAGCUACAACCAGAAGCAACAAAUUCAAAUUUUAACAGCCUUUACUCAAUUGUGCCUGGGAACACAAGAAAGAAGGUUGACAGCAUAUCACACUGGAAAACUUCUGCUCGCCCUUAUAAUUCUUUUCUCCCACCAGAGUUCUGCAAUUUAAAGCAGCGACUCAACCCUUUUCAUUAACUGUCUGUCCUUUUCUCUUUCUCUUCCUCUUUCUCCUGCCCCUGCCUCUCCCUCAGCACCUUCAUCCCAUUUUCUCAGCCCUAAGCCCUUUCUUUGUUUAUUAGUUGGGUGUUUUCUAUUGGCUACCCUGCUCAUUUUCUCCUUGGAGAUUACAAAGGGUGAAAAUCUGUGAAUACCUAACCUCUGGAAUUUCCUUUCUUCCUGACUCUCUCAGUGAUAAAUUACCUUAUUUCAGUGAGCAUUUCCUGGCCACCUUCAACAUCUGCAAAUCCUCAGCUCCUGACAGAACCUCCUCCAAUGCCCUGAUUUGCGUUUCUCCUUAGCGCUUACACUAACUUACCCACGUAUUUUUCUUAAUUUUUUAAAUUGUCUAUAUUCCUCUCCCCAGUUGAAGAUAAAAGCCUCACAAGGGCAGGGACUUUGAUCUAUCUCAUCUACUGCUAGAUUUUCAAAGCCUCAAACUGAACUCAGUCCAUAGAUGGGUACUCAAUAAAUUUUUGUGGAAUGAAUAAAUGCAUUUCUCACAAGAAAGCAUCCUCUUUGGUAGUUUGCUUUUCAGAAAAGUCACUCUGGAUGUCAGUCACCCCCCAAUUCUUUAGUUGGGACCACUCCCUCCAUGUUCUCUAAUGAUCUGUUGGCUUUUUAUGGCUUAUGAGUGGAGCUAGCAGCAGCAGUCAGAUUCUGAAUUAUUUUGAUACCUGGUAUCACCAUUUCAAUCCAAUGAUGAGUCUCCCCUGGGAGUUUACACCACCCCCAUGAUGGACAAUACAACAGACUCUUCAUGAGCCCUGAAUUUUGGGGUACCUAGAGUUUAAGCAUCAGAAAUCAGAACUCAAUCUAGAUGCAAGGCUAUAUAGUCUUUGAGAGACAGAUCUGGAUUUGAAAUUGGAUUCUGACACAUUCUAUGUGUCCUUUGACCAAAUCCCUCUCCUUGGUGAGCUUCAGGUUUGUUUUGUUUUGCUGUUUUCACCUAUAACUCAGAUGUACCAAUCCAACUUCACAGGGCAUAUAUGUAAAGUGCUACUCCUUAAGGUCAGAGCAUGUGGUAGGACUCUGUAGCUUGUCCACAUAGAUCAACUUGUGAAAAAGGAAGAAAAUUCAUUCCAUUCAUAUGCAAUGAAUGGAAGUUCCAGAGAGGAGACAAUUUGUAUUUAAAAACAUAGAGUAAUGUUGGGACACUUAUGUGUGUGCAAUCAUAGUAUAACUCUCCUUCAGUGUAGUGGAAUUUCCAUAAUGGAGUCUUAAGACAGGGUAGAUGACAGUGCAUUUGGGAAGAUGAAGAAAUAAGAUAUGCAUCAGGAAUCAGGGAUAUUCCAUGUCACGGUCCAGGUCUUCACAGGAAGUAGAUGACAAGAUGGGAUUAAAUAUCCGUGGAUUUUAUUAGAGAAAUACCUGUGAGAAACAAACUCAGUGAGAGUCAGAAAGGCCUUGAGAGUCUCAGACCAUGAUGCAUUCUAAUCUCGAGUGAACCAGUGGGAAGGGAAGAAGGAAGAUUGAGUGUUUGUGUCUUAGACUUCUGUGAUGUUCUAAAGAAAGUUUGGCAAUGAGGUCAAUGGGUCCUUGAACCAAAGCCACUUUCAGAGGAGUCCCCCAUUUCCUGGGGAUGGACCUAUCUUAAUAUUGCUGUGCUCAGUCUUUGCUGAGAGCAGCCUGUCUUGAAGGUGGCAUUGGUGCAAACACAGUGAUGGAUUUCAGAGGACUGCAACUGGUCCUUUGGUUCAAUGACGUUCCCUGGAGUUGGAGGUCUGAUAGGAGCCUUCACAAUGCUGUCCUUCUAGAUGACUUCAAUCCAUGGAGAUUGAAGAAGGGCUAAACACUUUCAACCCCCUGAGAAAGGUUAAUGUCUGAUCAUGACCUUCAGUAAGUAACAAGAAGAAGGUUUAAUUUCUUGAAAUAUUUUCUACCACCUUGAUUAAUUCUAGACUCUAGCUGGUGGAAUUACAAAAGAAAAGAAGCCCAAAUGAAAUUUUAUGGAAACACAAUGACCCACAGACCCUCAUGGGAAGACUUGCUGAAAUAGGGUAUAUCCCACUCCACCCCUAGCAGAGAGCCUACCUCAGAGACAGUCCCGAGAGAAGGAGAACACAGACCCAGCUAUGAGGCUCUGAGGCUCCCUCUUGUUGUGGCCUAGAGCACCUAGGGGCCCAUCUCUAGAAUUGUCUUUUGCAUGUGAGAGGCUAGACUAACUAGUCAGUAUUCCCAGGGGGCUCAGCAAAUCUCAACAACCCAUGCUACUAUGGCCGUUGAUCUUUAAGUGGAAUUGAACCUUGGCCUUAGUCAGUCCUAGAGGGAGAAGACAAAAUUUUAACUUUUUCAUUGAGUGAAAUUUGUAAAACUUGGAUGGAGAAUGAAAGGCCAUUUCCUAGAAUUGCAACCAGGCUGGGUACUCAGCUAAAUUAGAUGAAUGCAUAAGCUAAAUACCUACUCUGAUGAAUAAGACAUGGGUCAGGCACUCAGUUCCCUUGCAAUGCCACUACAUAGAGUAUCUUCUUUUGCCAUCUGUGUACCUAUUCUCCUUCCCUAAAGGAUGACAUUCACCAUGCCAGUUAGGACCUUCAUAAUGAUAACCACACAUCCCUUCCCCUUCCAGCAGCACACAAAGGAAAAAAUCAUAGACUCUGGAGCCAAAUUCCAACUUCCUAAACUUGUGAAUUUGGGCAAGUUACUUAACUGCUAUAGCCUUCAGUAUCCUACUCUGAGAACCAGGAAGAAGAGCACUAUUUUGCCAGGAUAUUGUGAAAAUUAAAGAUAAUCUAUGCAAAACCCUUGUCACAGCACUUGGCACGUGACAGAGGCUCUAAUUAUUGUUGCAAAUAUUUUCGUUCUUAGAAAUGUUACACGAUCUGCCUCAGCCUACUCUUACUAUUAGGAUAAGGGCUUAAGAGGUUACCUGUGACAAACAACCUGCUUGCUUUUAAGUAAUUGCCUUAUACACACAGCAUCUGUGCUAGCAGAAUUAAGCAGCAUAGAUGCCAGGCCUCUUACAAGAGUUUGAAAUCUGGAGCAUCUAUAUAAUCCUGGCUGCUUCAUUCAGCCCCAUGCACAGAUGGGACUGUUUCUUCAGACACUUACUUGUUUCUCCCCAAUGGUAUUAUGACAACCUAAGUAAAACCUUUAAAUGAUUUAGUUUGGUCAUAAUCAUUUUCUCCAUAUUACCGAACUGAUCUCCUGAUUGGCGUAUUGUUUGGAUGUAUUUCAGUUUCCAAUUUGAUCAUUUAUUUCUGUAUCAUUUGACAUUUUAUGAAGGACUCCUUUUAGAACAUUCUCUUUCGUUGCAUAUCUUCAGAUUCUUUGAAACAUGUUCAAAACACACUUCUGGGAAAGAGGAACAUAAUACCAUUUAGCAUCCUUUAGAACUCUUUCUGAUCACCUCAGUCUACCCAUCCCAAAAAUAUCUGGGAUUCAUAGGAUCCUGUCAGGCCACUUCUUUCUAAACUCUUUCUAUGCAAUAUUUCAUUAGAUUCCUUGGUGUCAAAGAUCACCUGCAUAUUGAUAAUUCCAAAAUUGAUAUAUUCACCUGAGCACACUCUGAUGGGCUCCUUGCCCAUAUAUUCUGCAACUUCUCAGGUCUGCUACAAGGUCUGAGGUAGGCUUUCUUUUACUUUCUUUUUUUUUGAAAUUAAAGCAUAGCUGAUUUAUAAAGUACAGUUGAUAUAUGAAAGUAUAAUGUUGUGCCAAUUUCUGCUGUUCAUAAAA